rnacentral:rRNA from 1 species
ACUCAAAGGAAUUGACGGGGACCCGCACAAGCGGUGGAUUAUGGGGUUUAAUUCGACGAUACGCGAAGAACCUUACCCAGGCUUGACAUCCUAGGAAUCCGCUGGAAACAGUGGAGUGCCUUCGGGAGCCUAGUGACAGGUGCUGCAUGGCCGUCGUCAGCUCGUGUCGUGAGAUGUUGGGUUAAGUCCCGCAACGAGCGCAACCCUUAUGAUUUGUUGUAUUUUUCAAAUCAGACUGCCCGGGCCAACCGGGAGGAAGGUGGGGAUAACGUCAGGUCAGCAUGGCCCUUACGCCUGGGGCUACACCCGUAAUACAAUGGCCGGUACAACGAGUUGCCAAAGCGCAAGCUGGAGCUAAUCUCAUCAAAACCGGUCCCAGUUCGGAUUGGAGGCUGCAACUCGCCUCCAUGAAGUCGGAAUCGCUAGUAAACGUGGGUCAGCAUACCACGUUGAAUACGUUCCCGGGUCUUGUACACACCGCCCGU